rnacentral:rRNA from 1 species
GACGAACGCUGGCGGCGUGCCUAACACAUGCAAGUCGAGCGAAUGAAGUUCCUUCGGGAGCGGAUUUAGCGGCGGACGGGUGAGUAACACGUGGGCAACCUGCCUCAUAGAGGGGAAUAGCCUUCCGAAAGGGAGAUUAAUACCGCAUAAGAUUGUAGUACCGCAUGGUACAGCAAUUAAAGGAGCAAUCCGCUAUGAGAUGGGUCCGCGGCGCAUUAGCUAGUUGGUGAGGUAACGGCUCACCAAGGCGACGAUGCGUAGCCGACCUGAGAGGGUGAUCGGCCACAUUGGGACUGAGACACGGCCCAGACUCCUACGGGAGGCAGCAGUGGGGAAUAUUGCACAAUGGGGGAAACCCUGAUGCAGCAACGCCGCGUGAGUGAUGACGGUCUUCGGAUUGUAAAGCUCUGUCCUUGGGGACGAUAAUGACGGUACCCAAGGAGGAAGCCACGGCUAACUACGUGCCAGCAGCCGCCGUAAAAC